GACGAACGCUGGCGGCGUGCCUAACACAUGCAAGUCGAGCGAUGAAACCCUUCGGGGUGGAUUAGCGGCGGACGGGUGAGUAACACGUGGGUAACCUGCCUCAAAGAGGGGGAUAGCCUCCCGAAAGGGAGAUUAAUACCGCAUAACAUUAGUUUUUCGCAUGGAGAACUAAUUAAAGGAGUAAUCCGCUUUGAGAUGGACCCGCGGCGCAUUAGCUAGUUGGUGAGGUAAAGGCUCACCAAGGCGACGAUGCGUAGCCGACCUGAGAGGGUGAUCGGCCACAUUGGAACUGAGACACGGUCCAGACUCCUACGGGAGGCAGCAGUGGGGAAUAUUGCACAAUGGGCGAAAGCCCGAUGCAGCAACGCCGCGUGAGUGAUGAAGGCCUUCGGGUUGUAAAGCUCUGUCUUUUGGGACGAUAAUGACGGUACCAAAGGAGGAAGCCACGGCUAACUACGUGCCAGCCGCCGCAGUAAAAC
rnacentral:rRNA from 1 species